GGGAAAGUACGUUAUUACCCAAUAAUUAUGGAUUGCAGGUGCUCAUUAGGUUGAAGAAAAAGUUCAAAACACUGAGAUCCAGGGUAUCGAGUACAGCAAAUCCGUGUGUGUAUUGGAAUAGGAGAUUUACCACCAGAACUGAGGAAAUAGGACAGAUGGAAAAGCAAGGGGAAGGAAGUGUUUUUGAAUGAAGUGCCAUCAAGAGAAGGAAGAGUUCAGAUUCUGCUGCAGAGCCCAGCUGUGAACGAGUCAGGAGCUCCCACCUCUACCCGAAAACCGGAGGAGAGGGAAGUAGGCUAGAACCCAACACAGUGCUUCUGGAAAGCACUUCAGAAGGCAAAGGAGCAAGCUGAGGUCAUAGGAAUUCCCCUGUGUGCCCCACGUGGGCUCCCCGUCUCCAGCCAAGUCCUCUGAAUCUCUAAUUACAUCCCGGAACCGGCAUUCUCCUUCUGCCCUCUCUCCCCAAGGAAAGAUGUCUCUGCUGUCUCACUGAGCUCCCUGCGGGGAAACCGACUCUAAGGAGACCAUUAGCAAGCUGCUGGGAGCUGGGGCUCCGGUUGCUGAGAACAGGCUGGGCUCAGAGCUGCCAGCCAGCCCAUCGAUCAUGGAUUUCACCGGGAUGCUUUCUGACCUUUCAAGGUUAGUGAAGACUCAGCAGUCACAUACCGUUCUGUGAUUAAAUGUCUCAAUCCUGAGCACGGUCUAUUAUUUUGCAAUUCAGAGAAGAAAAGGGACAGUACUUAGUAGCAAGGUGGUUUUUAGUGACAGCAACACGAUGACACGGUUUAAAAGGUUUUAAAGAGACAAAGAUGGUUACAACUCUCACAAGUUCUAUUUUUUGCAUCUUGUUUUGUUUUUUUAUAUUUGUGUAGCUAUGCUGAUAUUUUCUGCACUUAAUAGCACAUAUUUUUUGUUGAAGUAUAGUUGACACGCAACGUUACGUUAGUUUCAGGUAUACAACGUGGUGAUUUGACAUCUCUAUACGUUAUUCAGGCUCAUCACAAGGGUAACUACCAUCUGUCACCAUGCAACACCAUUACUACGUCAUUGACUAAAUUCCCUAUGCUGUACCUUUCACCCACGUGACUUAUUCACUCCGUAACCGGAAACUUGUAUCUCCCACUCCCCUUCACCCGUUUUGCCCAUCCUC